UUAGCUACAGGCUUAACACAUGCAAGUCGAGGGGCAUCAGGAAGAAAGCUUGCUUUCUUUGCUGGCGACCGGCGCACGGGUGAGUAACACGUAUCCAACCUGCCCUUUACUCGGGGAUAGCCUUUCGAAAGAAAGAUUAAUACCCGAUAGCAUAAUGAUUCCGCAUGGUUUCAUUAUUAAAGGAUUCCGGUAAAGGAUGGGGAUGCGUUCCAUUAGGUUGUUGGUGAGGUAACGGCCCACCAAGCCUUCGAUGGAUAGGGGUUCUGAGAGGAAGGUCCCCCACAUUGGAACUGAGACACGGUCCAAACUCCUACGGGAGGCAGCAGUGAGGAAUAUUGGUCAAUGGGCGCUAGCCUGAACCAGCCAAGUAGCGUGAAGGAUGAAGGCUCUAUGGGUCGUAAACUUCUUUUAUAUAAGAAUAAAGUGCAGUAUGUAUACUGUUUUGUAUGUAUUAUAUGAAUAAGGAUCGGCUAACUCCGUGCCAGCAGCCGCGGUAAUACGGAGGAUCCGAGCGUUAUCCGGAUUUAUUGGGUUUAAAGGGAGCGUAGGUGGACUGGUAAGUCAGUUGUGAAAGUUUGCGGCUCAACCGUAAAAUUGCAGUUGAUACUGUCAGUCUUGAGUACAGUAGAGGUGGGCGGAAUUCGUGGUGUAGCGGUGAAAUGCUUAGAUAUCACGAAGAACUCCGAUUGCGAAGGCAGCUCACUGGACUGCAACUGACACUGAUGCUCGAAAGUGUGGGUAUCAAACAGGAUUAGAUACCCUGGUAGUCCACACAGUAAACGAUGAAUACUCGCUGUUUGCGAUAUACAGUAAGCGGCCAAGCGAAAGCAUUAAGUAUUCCACCUGGGGAGUACGCCGGCAACGGUGAAACUCAAAGGAAUUGACGGGGGCCCGCACAAGCGGAGGAACAUGUGGUUUAAUUCGAUGAUACGCGAGGAACCUUACCCGGGCUUAAAUUGCAGUGGAAUGAUGUGGAAACAUGUCAGUGAGCAAUCACCGCUGUGAAGGUGCUGCAUGGUUGUCGUCAGCUCGUGCCGUGAGGUGUCGGCUUAAGUGCCAUAACGAGCGCAACCCUUAUCUUUAGUUACUAACAGGUUAUGCUGAGGACUCUGGAGAGACUGCCGUCGUAAGAUGUGAGGAAGGUGGGGAUGACGUCAAAUCAGCACGGCCCUUACGUCCGGGGCUACACACGUGUUACAAUGGGGGGUACAGAAGGCAGCUAGCGGGUGACCGUAUGCUAAUCCCAAAAGCCUCUCUCAGUUCGGAUCGAAGUCUGCAACCCGACUUCGUGAAGCUGGAUUCGCUAGUAAUCGCGCAUCAGCCACGGCGCGGUGAAUACGUUCCCGGGCCUUGUACACACCGCCCGUCAAGCCAUGGGAGCCGGGGGUACCUGAAGUACGUAACCGCAAGGAUCGUCCUAGGGUAAAACUGGUGACUGGGG
rnacentral:rRNA from 1 species